rnacentral:rRNA from 1 species
GAUGAACGCUGGCGGCGUGCUUAACACAUGCAAGUCGAACGGAAAGGCCAGUGCUUGCACUGGUGCUCGAGUGGCGAACGGGUGAGUAACACGUGGGUGAUCUGCCCUGCACUUUGGGAUAAGCCUGGGAAACUGGGUCUAAUACCAGAUAGGACCAUGCUUUGGAUGGUGUGGUGGAAAGUUUUUUCGGUGUGGGAUGAGCUUGCGGCCUAUCAGCUUGUUGGUGGGGUAAUGGCCUACCAAGGCGUCGACGGGUAGCCGGCCUGAGAGGGUGUACGGCCACAUUGGGACUGAGAUACGGCCCAGACUCCUACGGGAGGCAGCAGUGGGGAAUAUUGCACAAUGGGCGCAAGCCUGAUGCAGCGACACCGCGUGGGGGAUGACGGCCUUCGGGUUGUAAACUCCUUUCGCAACUGACGAAGCUUUUUGUGACGGUAGGUUGAGAAGAAGCACCGGCUAACUACGUG